CCACCUCUUCCCAUUCCGAACAGAGAAGUUAAGCCCUGCAGCGCCGAUGGUACUGCGUAAAAGUGGGAGAGUAGGUCGCCGCCGACC
rnacentral:rRNA from 1 species